GACGAACGCUGGCGGCGUGCUUAACACAUGCAAGUCGAACGGAAAGGCCCUGCUUUUGUGGGGUGCUCGAGUGGCGAACGGGUGAGUAACACGUGAGUAACCUGCCCUUGACUUUGGGAUAACUUCAGGAAACUGGGGCUAAUACCGGAUAGGAGCUCCUGCUGCAUGGUGGGGGUUGGAAAGUUUCGGCGGUUGGGGAUGGACUCGCGGCUUAUCAGCUUGUUGGUGGGGUAGUGGCUUACCAAGGCUUUGACGGGUAGCCGGCCUGAGAGGGUAGCCGGCCACAUUGGGACUGCGAUACGGCCCAGACUCCUACGGGAGGCAGCAGUGGGGAAUAUUGCCCAAUGGGCGGAAGCCUGAUGCAGCAACGCCGCGUGCGGGAUGACGGCCUUCGGGUUAUAAACCGCUUUCGCCUGUGACGAAGCGUGAGUGACGGUAAUGGGUAAAGAAGCACCGGCUAACUACGUG
rnacentral:rRNA from 1 species